AUUCACGAAGGCUUUCUUUAAGUUUUCUUGUGGCUUCUGAACUUUUGUCGUUCAAAUUACUGGCAAAAGCUAUUGCUGCCCAAUUAUCUGGUACACGGGGUAACAUCAUUCUUUCACAAGGGAAUCUAUCAACGAAAUCUCUGAGCAAUUCAGAUCUCCCUUGCUUGAUUUGAAGAUAUCCUCCAUUCUUUUUUCAACCUUCUAAUCUCCUGAGUGUGCUUUUAUAAAAGAAUCUACAAGCUCAGCAAAAGAAUUUAUAGA
rnacentral:lncRNA from 1 species